rnacentral:lncRNA from 1 species
GUUCCUCGUAAAGAUAAUGCUACAACUCUUUGAGUGGUCCAUAGGUGGCCUGUUGCAAGGCAAAAUUUCUGUCCCUAUCCAAUGUACCCUUAUUUUCCAGUGACAGUCCAAAUUUCCCCGACCAUCAUCCCAGAUGGCCUUGUUGUGACAAUACCUACCUAUUGUAUUUAUUGUGAACUUGUUCUCCUCCUGAAUAUGCAUGAAAUAUUUGCCACUGGACAUUAAGCAACCAAAAAUCAAUCAAUA